CCUACGGGAGGCAGCAGUGGGGAAUAUUGCACAAUGGAGGAAACCCUGAUGCAGCGACGCCGCGUGCAGGAAGACGGCUCUAUGAGUUGUAAACUGCUUUUGUACGAGGGUAAACGCAGAUACGCGUGUCUGUCUGAAAGUAUUUUACGAAUAAGGAUCGGCUAACUCCGUGCCAGCAGCCGCGGUAAUACGGAGGAUUCAAGCGUUAUCCGGAUUUAUUGGGUUUAAAGGGUGCGUAGGUGGUCGGAUAAGUUAGAGGUGAAAGCGUGAGGCUCAACUUUGGAAUUGCAUCUGAUACUGGUCGUCUAGAGAGUAGUUGCGGUAGGCGGAAUGUAUGGUGUAGCGGUGAAAUGCUUAGAGAUCACACAGAACCCCGAUUGCGAAGGCAGCUUACCAAGCUACUUCUGACGUUGAGGCACGAAAGCGUGGGGAGCAAACAGGAUUAGAUACCCGAGUAGUC
rnacentral:rRNA from 1 species